rnacentral:rRNA from 1 species
UGGGGAAUAUUGGACAAUGGGCGCAAGCCUGAUCCAGCCAUGCCGCGUGAGUGAUGAAGGCCUUCGGGUUGUAAAGCUCUUUCGCACGCGACGAUGAUGACGGUAGCGUGAGAAGAAGCCCCGGCUAACUUCGUGCCAGCAGCCGCGGUAAUACGAAGGGGGCUAGCGUUGUUCGGAAUUACUGGGCGUAAAGGGCGCGUAGGCGGCUUAUCAAGUCAGGCGUGAAAGCCCCGGGCUUAACCUGGGAACUGCGCUUGAGACUGGUAGGCUUGAGUACCGGAGAGGUGGGUGGAAUUCCCAGUGUAGAGGUGAAAUUCGUAGAUAUUGGGAAGAACACCGGUGGCGAAGGCGGCCCACUGGACGGUUACUGACGCUGAGGCGCGAAAGCGUGGGGAGCAAACAGG